GGAGAUGUAGCUCAGUGGAUAAGAGUGUUUGCCUAGCACGCAUGAAGCCCUGGGUUCAAUCCUCAGCCCCUCAU
rnacentral:tRNA from 1 species